GCCCUAGUAACGGCGAGUGAAGCGGCAACAGCUCAAAUUUGAAACCUGGCGCUUGCGUCCGGAUUGUAAUUUGCAGAGGAUGCUUCUGGGCAGCGGCCGGUCUAAGUUCCUUGGAAAAGGACGUCAUAGAGGGUGAGAACCCCGUAUGUGACCGGCGCGCACCCUCCACGUAGCUCCUUCGACGAGUCGAGUUGUUUGGGAAUGCAGCUCUAAAUGGGAGGUAAAUUUCUUCUAAAGCUAAAUAUUGGCCCGAGACCGAUAGCGCACAAGUAGAGUGAUCGAAAGAUGAAAAGCACUUUGGAAAGAGAGUUAAAAAGCACGUGAAAUUGUUGAAAGGGAAGCGCUUCCCACCAGACUCCGCGGCGGUGUUCCGCCGGUCUUCUGACCGGUCUACUCGCCGCCGUGGGGCCAGCAUCGUCUGGGGCCGCCGGAUAAGACCGCAGGAAUGUAGCUCAUUGAGUGUUAUAGCCUGCGGGGAUGCGGCGCGCCCCGGGCGAGGUCCGCGCUUCGGCAAGGAUGCUGGCGUAAUGGUGGGCAGCGGCCCGUCUUGAAACACGGACCAAGGAGUCUAACAUCUAUGCGAGUGUUCGGGUGUCAAACCCCUACGCGUAAUGAAAGUGAACGGAGGUGGGAGCUUCGGCGCACCAUCGACCGAUCCUGAUGUCCUCGGAUGGAUUUGAGUAAGAGCAUAGCUGUUGGGACCCGAAAGAUGGUGAACUAUGCCUGAAUAGGGUGAAGCCAGAGGAAACUCUGGUGGAGGCUCGCAGCGGUUCUGACGUGCAAAUCGAUCGUCAAAUUU
rnacentral:rRNA from 1 species